UACGGAAGGCAGCAGUGGGGAAUAUUGCACAAUGGGCGAAAGCCUGAUGCAGCUAUGCCGCGUGUAUGAAGAAGGCCUUAGGGUUGUAAAGUACUUUCAGCAGGGAGGAAGAAAUAAAACUAAUAAUUUUAUUUUGUGACGUUACCUGAAGAAGAAGCACCGGCUAACUCCGUGCCAGCAGCCGCGGUAAUACGGAGGGUGCAAGCGUUAAUCAGAAUUACUAGGCGUAAAGAGCGCGUAGGUGGUUUUUUUAAGUCAGAUGUGAAAUCCCUAGGCUUAACCUAGGAACUGCAUUUUGAAACUGAAAACUAGAGUAUCGUAGAGGGAGGUAGAAUUCUAGGUGUAGCGGUGAAAUGCGUAGAUAUCUGGAGGAAUACCUGUGGCGAAAGCGGCCUCCUAAACGAAUACUGACACUGAGGUGCGAAAGCGUGGGGAGCAAACAGGGAUUAGAUACC
rnacentral:rRNA from 1 species